rnacentral:rRNA from 1 species
AGAGUUUGAUCCUGGCUCAGGACGAACGCUGGCGGCGCGCCUAACACAUGCAAGUCGAACGAGCGAGAGAGAGCUUGCUUUCUCGAGCGAGUGGCGAACGGGUGAGUAACGCGUGAGGAACCUGCCUCAAAGAGGGGGACAACAGUUGGAAACGACUGCUAAUACCGCAUAAGCCCACGGCUCGGCAUCGAGCAGAGGGAAAAGGAGCAAUCCGCUUUGAGAUGGCCUCGCGUCCGAUUAGCUAGUUGGUGAGGUAACGGCCCACCAAGGCGACGAUCGGUAGCCGGACUGAGAGGUUGAACGGCCACAUUGGGACUGAGACACGGCCCAGACUCCUACGGGAGGCAGCAGUGGGGAAUAUUGCACAAUGGGGGAAACCCUGAUGCAGCGACGCCGCGUGGAGGAAGAAGGUCUUCGGAUUGUAAACUCCUGUUGUUGAGGAAGAUAAUGACGGUACUCAACAAGGAAGUGACGGCUAACUACGUGCCAGCAGCCGCGGUAAAACGUAGGUCACAAGCGUUGUCCGGAAUUACUGGGUGUAAAGGGAGCGCAGGCGGGAAGACAAGUUGGAAGUGAAAUCUAUGGGCUCAACCCAUAAACUGCUUUCAAAACUGUUUUUCUUGAGUAGUGCAGAGGUAGGCGGAAUUCCCGGUGUAGCGGUGGAAUGCGUAGAUAUCGGGAGGAACACCAGUGGCGAAGGCGGCCUACUGGGCACCAACUGACGCUGAGGCUCGAAAGUGUGGGUAGCAAACAGGAUUAGAUACCCUGGUAGUCCACACCGUAAACGAUGAUUACUAGGUGUUGGAGGAUUGACCCCUUCAGUGCCGCAGUUAACACAAUAAGUAAUCCACCUGGGGAGUACGACCGCAAGGUUG